UGGAGAUCAGGUUUGCACACU
rnacentral:miRNA from 1 species